AUGCCCUCCCUGCCCCUUGGCCGCCCGGAGUGCCCGGCAGGGGCCAGGCUGCGUCUCCCCCAGGGAAGGGAGGGUGAGGAGCCCCCUCUGCCAGCGGCAGACACUCGGUCCCCACCCUCCUUAGGGACCCCCCCUCCCGGCAGUGUGGACCCCUCCUUGGUCCUGCCGGCGCCCUCGAGGGAGGGCCGAGGGGGUAAAGGCCAGAGCCGGGGCCGGGCCGAGGGUGCCCGCCUACCUGGGAGUUGGCACAGGCAUUGUUCCCACGCUCUGUGGUGCCAAUCCUGGCAUCGCAGCCCUGCCCCACCCUUGCCUUGUGGCGACCAGGGCACCCGGAAUGUGGCUGUGGAUUCCGUCCCCUGGGGCCACGGAUUCCUGUCUCAGUGGGCGAGGGCGGAGGACGGCUUUCCGCCCUUUGAUCCCUGCCAACUCCAGGGAGCUGGGCGCGCCCAGGCCUUGCCAGGCAGGCCACAGGGGAAGCUGGGAGGGGGGCCCAGGCGGGUGCCCCACGGGUUCCUGAUUCCCGUCCUGCCGGCUGGGUGGUGGUCCUGGCCCCUCCCCUCACCUGCGGGCCCAGGUCAAUUCCCCAGCUUGGGCCUGCAGGUGCCGCACAGCUCUGCCCGUCCCCCAGCCUGCCUCGGUGGGGCCGGGCCCCGACUCACUCCGCCAGACUCUUCUUUACCUGCCAGGGUGCUCUGGGUGCCUCCCACCACCCCCCAUCCGCUCUUGAGCCCCCCGGGGGUCCCUGGUGCUGGUCAGGGCGCUGGACCAGGAGGGAAUCCAGGUGUCCUGGCGUCACCCUUGCCUGCAAAGGAGCCAGCGUGCCGCAGCCCAGGGGCAGACCCGAAGGCCCUCACCCUCAAAUGUGCUCGUUUCCCGCCCUUCUUAGCCUCUCUGAGCCUGCGACAGUCGCCCUGUCACUCAGGGGACCUUGUGUUCAAGUGCUACUGGGCCUCCCCGACCCUGGGACAAGGGGGGGGGCAGAGCGGGUCUCAUCAGGAGCUCCUGAGAGGCAGAAGGACCCAGGAGGGCAGCUGGCCUCUGCUUGGCCACCUCUGCCAGUUGUGCCCCGGGUUCCCUCACCUGCCAGAUGGAAAUCGCAGCAAUUAG
rnacentral:lncRNA from 1 species